UCAGUCCUUUAGGUUCUGGGUAGGUAUAAGCAGUGUAGAGAAGGAGCAUUCAGUCCUUUAGGUUCUGGGUAGGUAUAAGCAGGUGUAGAGAAGGAGCAUUCAGUCCUUUAGGUUCUGGGUAGGUAUAAGCAGUGUAGAGAAGGAGCAUUCAGUCCUUUAGGUUCUGGGUAGGUAUAAGCAGGUGUAGAGAAGGAGCAUUCAGUCCUUUAGGUUCUGGGUAGGUAUAAGCAGGUGUAGAGAAGGAGCAUUCAGUCCUUUAGGUUCUGGGUAGGUAUAAGCAGGUGUAGAGAAGGAGCAUUCAGUCCUUUAGGUUCUGGGUAGGUAUAAGCAGUGUAGAGAAGGAGCAUUCAGUCCUUUAGGUUCUGGGUAGGUAUAAGCAGUGUAGAGAAGGAGCAUUCAGUCCUUUAUGUUCUGGGUAGGUAUAAGCAGUGUAGAGAAGGAGCAUUCAGUCCUUUAGGUUCUGGGUAGGUAUAAGCAGGUGUAGAGAAGGAGCAUUCAGUCCUUUAGGUUCUGGGUAGGUAUAAGCAGGUGUAGAGAAGGAGCAUUCAGUCCUUUAGGUUCUGGGUAGGUAUAAGCAGGUGUAGAGAAGGAGCAUUCAGUCCUUUAGGUUCUGGGUAGGUAUAAGCAGUGUAGAGAAGGAGCAUUCAGUCCUUUAGGUUCUGGGUAGGUAUAAGCAGGUGUAGAGAAGGAGCAUUCAGUCCUUUAUGUUCUGGGUAGGUAUAAGCAGUGUAGAGAAGGAGCAUUCAGUCCUUUAGGUUCUGGGUAGGUAUAAGCAGGUGUAGAGAAGGAGCAUUCAGUCCUUUAGGUUCUGGGUAGGUAUAAGCAGGUGUAGAGAAGGAGCAUUCAGUCCUUUAGGUUCUGGGUAGGUAUAAGCAGGUGUAGAGAAGGAGCAUUCAGUCCUUUAGGUUCUGGGUAGGUAUAAGCAGGUGUAGAGAAGGAGCAUUCAGUCCUUUAGGUUCUGGGUAGGUAUAAGCAGGUGUAGAGAAGGAGCAUUCAGUCCUUUAGGUUCUGGGUAGGUAUAAGCAGGUGUAGAGAAGGAGCAUUCAGUCCUUUAGGUUCUGGGUAGGUAUAAGCAGUGUAGAGAAGGAGCAUUCAGUCCUUUAUGUUCUGGGUAGGUAUAAGCAGUGUAGAGAAGGAGCAUUCAGUCCUUUAGGUUCUGGGUAGGUAUAAGCAGGUGUAGAGAAGGAGCAUUCAGUCCUUUAUGUUCUGGGUAGGUAUAAGCAGUGUAGAGAAGGAGCAUUCAGUCCUUUAGGUUCUGGGUAGGUAUAAGCAGGUGUAGAGAAAGAACUUCCAGUAUGGCUGCCACCUUACAGAUUUG